GCAGACACAUUCCAGACAAUCAGCAGCAGACCCUCCCUCCCAGAUCCUCCCACCUCCUGGACAGCAUCCAUUGUGAAGCUGCAUUCUUAGUGAGUUGUCCAGGAGGUGGGAGGGUCUGGGAGGGAGGGUGUGCUGCUGAUUGACUGGAAUGUGUCUG